rnacentral:rRNA from 1 species
GACGAACGCUGGCGGCGUGCUUAACACAUGCAAGUCGAACGGUGAACCUCUUCGGAGGGGAUCAGUGGCGAACGGGUGAGUAACACGUGGGCAACCUGCCCCCGGCUCUGGGAUAACUCCAAGAAAUUGGGGCUAAUACCGGAUGUUCACCGCUUCCCGCAUGGGUGGUGGUGGAAAGGGUUUCCGGCUGGGGAUGGGCCCGCGGCCUAUCAGCUUGUUGGUGGGGUAGUGGCCUACCAAGGCGACGACGGGUAGCCGGCCUGCGAGGGUGACCGGCCACACUGGGACUGAGACACGGCCCAGACUCCAACGGGAGGCAGCGGUGGGGAAUAGUGCGCAAUGGGCGGAAGCCGGACGCAGCGACGCCGGGUGGGGGAUGACGGCCUUCGGGUUGUAAACCUCUUUCAGCAGGGACGAAGCGCAAGUGACGGUACCUGCAGAAGAAGCACCGGCAAACUACGU